rnacentral:rRNA from 1 species
UACGGGAGGCAGCAGUAAGGAAUAUUGGUCAAUGGGCGCAAGCCUGAACCAGCCAUGCCGCGUGCAGGAAGACGGCCCUAUGGGUUGUAAACUGCUUUUGUCAGGGAAUAAACCUCUCUACGUGUAGACAGCUGAAGGUACCUGAAGAAUAAGCAUCGGCUAACUCCGUGCCAGCAGCCGCGGUAAUACGGAGGAUGCAAGCGUUAUCCGGAUUCAUUGGGUUUAAAGGGUGCGCAGGCGGAUUAAUAAGUCAGGGGUGAAAUCCUACAGCUCAACUGUAGAACUGCCAUUGAUACUGUCAGUCUUGAGUAUAGUUGAGGUGGGCGGAAUGUGUCAUGUAGCGGUGAAAUGCUUAGAUAUGACACAGAACACCGAUCGCGAAGGCAGCUCGCUAAGCUAUAACUGACGCUCAUGCACGAAAGCGUGGGGAUCAAACAGGAUUAGAUACCCUGGUAGUCCACGCCGUAAACGAUGAUUACUCGAUGUUGGCGAUACACAGUCAGCGUCUGAGCGAAAGCAAUAAGUAUCCGCCUGGA